rnacentral:rRNA from 1 species
AGUGAACGCUGGCGGUAGGCCUAACACAUGCAAGUCGAACGGCAGCACAGUAAGAGCUUGCUCUUACGGGUGGCGAGUGGCGGACGGGUGAGGAAUACAUCGGAAUCUACUUUUUCGUGGGGGAUAACGUAGGGAAACUUACGCUAAUACCGCAUACGACCUACGGGUGAAAGCAGGGGAUCUUCGGACCUUGCGCGAUUGAAUGAGCCGAUGUCGGAUUAGCUAGUUGGCGGGGUAAAGGCCCACCAAGGCGACGAUCCGUAGCUGGUCUGAGAGGAUGAUCAGCCACACUGGGACUGAGACACGGUCCAGACUCCUACGGGAGGCAGCAGUGGGGAAUAUUGGACAAAGGGCGAAAGCCUGAUCCAGCCAUACCGCGUGGGUGAAGAAGGCCUUCGGGUUGUAAAGCCCUUUUGUUGGGAAAGAAAAGCAGCAGGUUAAUACCCCGCUGUUCUGACGGUACCCAAAGAAUAAGCACCGGCUAACUUCGUG